rnacentral:rRNA from 1 species
AUUGAACGCUGGCGGCAUGCUUUACACAUGCAAGUCGAACGGUAACAGGCCGCAAGGUGCUGACGAGUGGCGAACGGGUGCGUAAUGCAUCGGAACGUGCCCAGUCGUGGGGGAUAACUACUCGAAAGAGUAGCUAAUACCGCAUACGAUCUAUGGAUGAAAGCGGGGGACCGUAAGGCCUCGCGCGAUUGGAGCGGCCGAUGUCAGAUUAGGUAGUUGGUGGGGUAAAGGCUCACCAAGCCAACGAUCUGUAGCUGGUCUGAGAGGACGACCAGCCACACUGGGACUGAGACACGGCCCAGACUCCUACGGGGGGCAGCAGUGGGGAAUUUUGGACAAUGGGCGCAAGCCUGAUCCAGCAAUGCCGCGUGCAGGAAGAAGGCCUUCGGGUUGUAAACUGCUUUUGUACGGAACGAAACGGCUCUGGUUAAUACCCGGGGCUAAUGACGGUACCGUAAGAAUAAGCACCGGCUAACUACGUG